rnacentral:lncRNA from 1 species
CCAGUGCUCCCAGUCCCUCCCAGUCCAUCCCAGUUCACUCCCAGUUUAUCCCAGUCCCUCCCAGUGCCCUCUCAGUCUCUCCCAGUGCUCUCCACAUCUCUCCCAGUCACCGUCUCAGUGCCAUUUCCUCACUCCCAGUGCCUCCCAUUCCCCUCGCUUUGCCUCCCAGUUCACUCCCAGUCCAUCCCAGUGACUCCCAGUCCCUCCCAGUGCCCUCUCAGUCUCUCCCAGUUCCCUCCCAGUCCAUCCCAGUUUAUCCCAGUCCAUCCCAGUUUAUCCCAGUCCCUCCCAGUCCGUCCCAGUCUCACCUUGAGCGCAGGGAUGUCCCCUCCACCCUGACCACGAACUCGUCCCUCUCUCUGAAGAUCCCCUCUGCCCCGCUCUG